UUCUGCUGUUACACCUACAAUUACUGUUGUAAGUACUCAAAAUUUCAGGAAGUUCUGUUGCUGUUUGUUCAGUCCAGAAGCAAUGGAAAAUUACAAAUCAUUAGAGGCUUAUAAAUACUUUGUUUCGGGAUGGGUGCAAACAAUAUAUCAUAUAUGGCUUGAUUCUGGUUUUUUUUAUUGCUAAGGCUGAUGUUUGUCCGUCAUACCGAAUUAAUGAUACUCCAUAUCAACCAUAGAUUUCUCUGAAUAAACAUGGUUAAGUUCUUACAGCACAUUGCAACUGUAUGGCAGGAACUUGCUCACAUGUUGCUGCAGUCCUUUACAACUUGAAGCAGCUGCUAGACUUGGUAUUAUAUGUCAGACUCCCACAGAUUUACCAUGUCAGUGGAAUCAAAACUUUACUAAAAAAAUUGAACCAUCCCUAAUUUCUAAUAUAGAUUUUUAUUCCACUGAAGCUAAAAAAAAGGUUACAAAUAAAUUUAAACACAAUCAUUUGGAACCAACUAGCAUUGCUAGAUUAAACUUUCUUAAAGCAAUUAGAAAAAUUAAUGCAAAUGUUGUAAGAUUGUCACUUUUUCCUGGCAUGAGCAAUGCUUUUUUACAAUAUUCUGAAAAUAAUGUUACUGUUAAAAAAUUACCUAAACAACUUCGUAAUUUGUACAUGUCACACAGUAUUGAUUUUGAUCAUGCAACUUUAUUGGCCGAAUGCAAUAAGAUUAAGAUAUCAUUUGUAAUUACAACAGAUGAAAUAAUUCUUGAAAGCGUUACCAGAAAUCAAUCAGCUAGUAUAGUUUAAAAUGAGCAAGGAGCAGGACGUAUAAUAGGAUCUGUUGCACCUUCUGUGAUACAUAGCAAUAUUAGUAUUCCAGCAAAGUCAGUAGUAUUAAAAAAUAACUAUGCCAGUAUUAAAGAACAACAAUGUUCCAUCUUUAAAAUGGGGUAGAGAGAAAGAAGAAGAAGCACUCAUAGAUUAUCAAAAUUCUUCUUUUGAUCCUGAAUAUGUAUCUGAAUCUUUUUGUUUAAAUUCAAAAAAUAUGCAUAAUCAUUUUGAAUUAAAAAAAACUGGUUUAGUUAUCAAGCCGUAUAAAUUUUAUUUAGGAGUAUCAGCUGAUGCUGUAGUUGUUGUGGAACAGGCAUAGUUGUGGAACAGGCAUAGUUGAAGUUAAGUGUCCAUAUUCUUUGCGUGAGAAAGGAUUACAUGACAUAAUUCUCAGUAAUGCUUUUUACUUAACAUAUGAGAAUGGAGAA